GUAUCAGAAUCAGCUCCUGCGACCAAAGGUGUUGGAACUGCUGCUGGACCUAUACCAGAAGACUUUUUCCAGAACACAAUACCAUCCCUCCAGGUUGCAGCUGCUUUGCCUCCUCCUGGAUCUUAUCUUUCAAAGUUGGAUCAAACUCCUCAAAAGGUUGAAGUUGGUGGAAAGGUACCACCUGACCAUGUAAAUGCACCUGCGGCUGAUAUUGGUCUCCCCGGUGGUGGGGUUCCUCCUCAGUCCGCUGAACAACCUAUUCCUCCUGAGUCUCUUGCACUUCCUGGUGGCGGUAUUCCUCCACAAUACUCAGCUCCAGCUGCUGGUUUGCCACAGCCUCAAGUUCAGCCUGCUCAAAUGCCACUAUCCACGCAACCUCUUGACCUUAGUGCUCUUGGAGUUCCAAACUCUGCAGAGUCUGAAAAAC
rnacentral:lncRNA from 1 species